rnacentral:rRNA from 1 species
ACUCAAAGGAAUAGACGGGGGCCCGCACAAGCAGCGGAGCGUGUGGUUUAAUUCGAUGCAACGCGAAGAACCUUACCUGGGCUUGACAUGGGGUCGCACCAGGCGUAAUGGCCUGUCCCCUUCGGGGGCGGCUCCACAGGUGCUGCAUGGCUGUCGUCAGCUCGUGCCGUGAGGUGUUGGGUUAAGUCCCCUAACGAGCGCAACCCCCGGGGUCCGUUAUCUGUGGUGUCGGGCCCGACUGCCGCGCGCAACGCGGAGGAAGGUGGGGAUGAUGUCAAGUCAGCACGGCCCUGACGUCCAGGGCUACACACACGCUACAAUGGCCGGUACAACGGGUUGCCAAGCCGCGAGGCGGAGCCAAUCCCAGCAAAGCCGGUCUCAGUUCGGAUUGCAGGCUGCAACUCGCCUGCAUGAAGUCGGAGUUGCUAGUAACCGUGGGUCAGCACACCGCGGUGAAUACGUUCCCGGGCCUUGCACACACCGCCCGU